rnacentral:rRNA from 1 species
UACGUAGGGUGCAAGCGUUAUCCGGAAUUAUUGGGCGUAAAGAGCUCGUAGGCGGUUUGUCGCGUCUGCUGUGAAAACCCGAGGCUCAACCUCGGGCCUGCAGUGGGUACGGGCAGACUAGAGUGCGGUAGGGGAGAUUGGAAUUCCUGGUGUAGCGGUGGAAUGCGCAGAUAUCAGGAGGAACACCUAUUGCGAAGGCAGCUCGCUGGGACGUAACUGACGCUGAGACGCGAAAGCGUGGGGAGCAAACAGG